rnacentral:lncRNA from 1 species
UGGACAUUUGAGUGCAUGUAAACAAUCCUACUCUAAUGAACCAUUAUUUUGUAAUGAAAGAAUUGGCUAGAACCAUGUUUGUGUAUAUAUUUUGUCAGCCAACUUCUUGGCCUCAGAUGUAUAUGAAUAUCAUAUUUUAUAAGGGAUGAUUUUUUUUCCGCUGUAUAAAUUAUUUAUGCACUCAUAUUUGUUCUACUAUCAGACACCGUUACCCAC